UACGUAGGGUGCGAGCGUUAAUCGGAAUUACUGGGCGUAAAGCGUGCGCAGGCGGUUUUGUAAGCCAGAUGUGAAAUCCCCGGGCUUAACCUGGGAAUGGCAUUUGGGACUGCAAGGCUUGAGUGCGGCAGAGGAGACUGGAAUUCCUGGUGUAGCAGUGAAAUGCGUAGAUAUCAGGAGGAACACCGAUGGCGAAGGCAGGUCUCUGGGCUGACACUGACGCUCAUGCACGAAAGCGUGGGGAGCAACAGGAUAGAAAC
rnacentral:rRNA from 1 species